CAAGUCAGAGUCAAGAAUUGGGCCCCCUGCCCACCACCCAGGGUGUCUGAAGGCCCAGGCCGGCAUACCCAUCAUUCAGCCAGAGCAGGUGGCCGAGCCAGCUGGGCUCUUCUCCAGAUGCUUUCAGGGAGGGAUGCCAGGCCUAAGACCAGGGGUCCACACCCUGAGGGGAGGUGGCAGAGGAUGUGGUCUCGGAAAGCCCAGAACCUGGUGAGUGGGGAGGGGUCCUUCCAGAUGGUUUCAACCUUUGACCCAAUUCCUCCAUCUCUGAGGCGAAGGGAAGGGAUUGGGUUGAUGCCCCCAGAGCCCCAACCCAGCCACCAUCCUUUCUCAGAGCCACACAGCUGGGAGAAGUCACCAAGGCUCCCUGUGCUGAGAGAAAGAGGGUAUGUCUCAGGUGGGUAUAAGACGUGGACUCCUGGAGGGGUCCUUGGCCCUCUCUCCUAGCAGGGACAUUCCUUCUCCCGCCACCCUCCAGAUCUCCUGCUCCAGAUGCCUGGCUCCUCCAGGGCACCCCAAUGGGCGGCUCUGCCACCCCAGGACACUCAACUGGAGCCACCCUUACAAAACCGGUUUGAAGCCAAACAAUAGCAGGUCACAGUCCAGCUGAGCUGGAGGCCUCAGCAGGGUGAACACGAGUGAGGCUGUGGCCAAGAGGGACAGAGGUGCCAGGGUCUCAGAGGCAGGUGUGGCGCAGUUGCCAGCAAGCCCCACUGCCCAGCACGGCCGCCCCACAGCUCCGUCUCUUCCCCAUGACCUGACCGCAGCUUUGAGGCCAGCACUUGGCCUCCCCUCCCAAGCAGCAGGUCCCUUCUCUGGCCGGGGAGGAGGAGGAGGGUGACUUCCGAAGGGAGAGGAAGCAGAAUGUCAGCCUGCAGCCUUCCUGCCAGGAGAGGAGAACUUCAGGUCAGAAUGGCCAUCUCAACCUCAUGGAAGCUCUGGAUUGACGAGUGACCGCUGAUGUGGCAGGAGGUCCACCUUCCCACAAAGGGAGCCCAGAGCCCAGAGGGGUCCCUCUGGCCCAGGGAGGGUGGGACAUAGGCAUAUGGGUGGAAGUUGGACAAAGUCUGGCAGAAUGGGGCACCAGGGGACAGUAAGACCCUGGCUGAGAAACUGAGCGGGGACAGGCCCCAGCAAUUCCCUUGGAGAUAAAGAGCCUGCUGCAGGUCCCAGGCCCCAACCGGGGACAGACGGGAGGGGAUGUGCUGGUGAUGGGGGUGAGCCAUCUAGACAGAAAGCUCUGUGGACACCUGAGGCCUCCUCCUGGAAUUGCCCCAAGCCAUGUGGCUAAGGCCUGGGGAGCCCUUCACCAUGUGGGUUGGGGUGCAGUGGGGUGGGAGCCCCUCGCCAAAGCUGGGAAGGGGCAGGGGCUGCAGAGAGCCUCUGGGAGAUGGGAGGCACAGCAGGGAGGAGCCUGCAUGGGCCUUCCAAGUGCCCCGCUGCCCGACUUUCCUCCUGCCCAGCCCCGUGGGUGGACUCCAACCUACAGCUUCACUGAUCUCAGAAGGCCCCACCCUCUCCCAGCUUGUGCUUCUGACUGUUUAUUUCCUGCAGAGGAGUCAGUGUUCCUGCCACUGAGAACAGAGAUGUUUUCACCCAGAGGGCCCACCCGCCGCACCCCUGCCUGCACCCCUCACACCCUGGCUCCAUCCUAAUGCAGGGAUAUGAACUUGGGCUUGGGUCCCAGCUGCUUCCUGGGCCUCUGAAUCCUCAUCUUUGAGCUGAGGGUGUGAGACGGGAUAAUUCCAGCCACCAUCCAGCCCCAAAUGUCCCCCACUUCAUGACUGUCUUCCUCAAAUGCCAUGCCUCCUCAAAUACCUCUCCUCCCCACCAGCGAGAGAGGUGCAGUCUGGUGGGGGAGAGAGGAGGCUGCUGGAUGACUGUGCCUUCUUCCCACAUCCCAGCCUGUUCUUCUGGAUCCCACAUCCAGGGACCCCCAGCCUUUACAGUUGACCCAUUCCAGCAUAUUAGCCACAAGAUUGUUGGUUCUCUUUAAUAGGUGAGGAGUCUGAGUCUCAGACAGACCCUGUGUCUUGCUGAAAGUCACCUGGCCAGUCAGGGGCAGGGCUGGGUUUCAAGCCCAGCAGCAGGCCCCCUUGCCCCCACCCCCCAACAUCUGUGCAGAGCCCUGGGUUGCCCUCCUCCAACGUCGUUGUGGCGUGAACAGCCAGGCGCUUUCAUUCAGGGCCCGACUCUGCAGCCGCCACAGCCUGGUGAUGUCAGCGUUGCCAUGGAAACCAUUCCCCAGGCGUCGGGCAGGACCAGCCUCCCCAGCGCAGUUUCCCUUUGUGUGGACUUUGCAACGCGUUGCCAAGACAGAAGAAUCCUAUAGUACCUUUGGAGAGUGGGCCAGCUCUGUCCAAAGCCUCCCACAAGCUCCCAGAUCUAAGAGGGGUUUGAGCCAAGCGAGAAUCUCCAAGCCCAGGCCCCUCCCUGCAGAGGCUUGGAAAGCCUGCUCAGCCUAACAGGGUCUUCCUAUGUUUCCCAGGCUGCUCUCCAACCCCUAGGCUUGAGUGACCCUCCUGCCUUGGUCUCCCAAAGUGCUGGGGUUACAGGCACCAUGCCUGGCUGUGAAUCUCCCUUAUUAAAGAUCAGCAAACACUAGUGACCUCCACUGAGAGCCGACGAGAGCUGACCUCAUGCCAGGGAUGCCAGGAAUGGCUGGAUGGCUGCAGCAGGAAAUGCACAACAGAGGCAGCCAGAGCCACUCUUGCUAUCCGGCUCUGGAAGGUCCCUCAGUGCUCUGGGGCCCAGGCUGCCCGUGUUGGAACUGCCACAUCCAGUCCUACCAAAGUCCACGCUGCAGCCACAGGAACGAAAAGGAUGAUAGCUUUGUGGAAAACUCAAGUAUUUAAAAAAUAAACAAAACGUGUGAA